rnacentral:lncRNA from 1 species
GUUAGCCAGGAUGGUCUCGAUCUCCUGACCUUGUGAUCCGCCCGUCUCGGCCUCCCAAAGUGCUGGGAUUACAGGCUUGAGCCACCGCGCCCGGCCGAUGGGCUUUCAUUCACUUAUAUUUUGUCUCAGAUUUCUUGUUUCUUACUAUUUUUUUUUUUGUGUGUGGCACUUUUGUGAUUAUUCUGAUGAACUGUUGCUUUAAACUUCUAUUCUAAGACUGGCUAUUGAAACCGGUUUCACUUUCCACUAAGACCUUCAACUCCUUUUGCCCUGGUUCCACACUUGCCACUAGGGAGCUGCUGGCCUAGCCACAAAAAGGGGGCUCCUGGCAGUGUUUCAGGAAGAAGGCAGGGUGGGCAGUUUUACCUUCACUUCCAGAAAUGCAGACCUCUUGAGAGCUGAAUGUGUUCUUGCAUCCUCAAAGCCGUACCAGGAGAAGAGCCAUAUUUGGAGGCAGGUGUUGGGCGUACCCAGCCUGGGCAGCCACUUCCUGAGACUCUCUCCAGUCACCAGGCAAUGUUUAAAUGAAAGAAAGGAAAGGAAAAGUGGUAAUCAGACAACUUUCUGGGCAUACAGCCAGACUUCUGCUGGCAUGUUGGAGGUUACUCUCACAGUGCUCAGUUGCUUAGUAAAGCAUCUGAGAAUAGCAG